rnacentral:rRNA from 1 species
CCUACGGGUGGCAGCAGUGGGGAAUAUUGGACAAUGGGCGAAAGCCUGAUCCAGCCAUGCCGCGUGUGUGAAGAAGGCCUUCGGGUUGUAAAGCACUUUCAGUGGGGAAGAAAGCCUUGGGGCUAAUACCCUCGAGGAAGGACAUCACCCACAGAAGAAGCACCGGCUAACUCCGUGCCAGCAGCCGCGGUAAUACGGAGGGUGCGAGCGUUAAUCGGAAUUACUGGGCGUAAAGCGCGCGUAGGCGGUCUGAUAAGCCGGUUGUGAAAGCCCCGGGCUCAACCUGGGAACGGCAUCCGGAACUGUCAGGCUAGAGGGCAGGAGAGGAAGGUAGAAUUCCCGGUGUAGCGGUGAAAUGCGUAGAGAUCGGGAGGAAUACCAGUGGCGAAGGCGGCCUUCUGGACUGACACUGACGCUGGGGUGCGAAAGCGUGGGUAGCAAACAGGAUUAGAUACCCAGUAGUC